GGGCUGCUGAUAACACUGCAACUUCCUUCUUCCAAGAUGAGAGAUUCAAAAGAAAGACAAAAAGAGUGGACACCUGUGGUCACAUGGAGGCAAACUAUUACUACAGUGCUUAGUUUCGCAUGUUUCAAAGCUCCUUAAAGCCUGCUGUUUGCGAAUCACAGACGACCAAAAACUUUAUGCAAGAAUGACCAUCUAUUUCUUUCUAACUGCACACAUUCCAGGUAAUAUAUCCAGACCUCAUUGUCAGAAGCAGUUUUUAAAUGCCAACUGUAUCAAUCACGCCUAUGUCCUGUUUGCAGAACUAUUAUAUCCAUUAAGGUAGACACAAAACAAGUAACAUUAUAUUUUUUAAAUCUAUAAAGCAAAUAAAAAAUUUGUGUAGGAUUACUUAAACAUUUUUAGAAGCAAAAAAGAACAUUUUAUAUUACUAACUGAAAAUCUAUCUUAAGUAAUAAUCAUGGUUCUUAGCAGUAAAGUUGUUUUUAGAAAUAAAUCUAUAAUAUUAAAUUAAUAUAUUUUUCUUCUAACAGAAAUGACUGAGAAAAUGCUAUUGAACUUUUUUUGUUUUCUGUUUUUGAGAUGGAGUUUUGCUCUUGUUGCCCAGGCUGAAGUUUAGUGGCACAAUCUCAGUUCACUGCAACCUCCGCUUCCUGGGUUCAGAUGAUUUUCCUGCCUCAGCCUCCUGAGAAAUCAGCUGCCUGAGCCUCUGAUUUCUGUCCCUAUAGUAGCUGGGAUUACAGGUGUGCACCACUACCCCCAGCUAAUUUUGUAUUUUUAGUAGAGACAGGGUUUCACCAUGUUGACCAGGCUGGUCUUGAACUCCUAACCUCAGGUGAUCUGACCACUUCGGCUUCCCAAAGUGCUGGGAUUACAGGCAUGAGCCACCACUCCUGGCACUAUUUAACUUUUAACAAUUUCUUUCUUGAUUUUAUCAUCUUGACUACUAGUAACCUCCAGUGUACAUUAAUUUAUUCAUAUUUCUGUAUCUUUAUUUUAUAUGCCAACUCAUCCCAAAGUCAGUUUUAUUCAUUUGACCAGUGAUUAAUAGGUUAUUUGUUACCAUCUUUAAGCAGGUAUACAUAAUAUAAAAAUUCUUGCUCAGGAAAUGCAAAGAUGACUAUAAUUUUUUCUUAUUACCACCAUAAGAGUUGUAUAUGGUGGCAUAAAAAGAAUAAUACAAAUUGUAACUGCAUUAUGAAUAUUGACCCAAGUGUUAAUGAUUGAACCUUUCACUUAGAUAGCUGUUCUCUGAACUCUCCUCAGAAAUACCAACUACAGUUACAAUCUCAUUAGCAUUAGUUUCAUAUAGUUCUAUAAUUUUUGUGUAAGAUCUAUGUAUAGUUUUUCAAUUUGUUUCAUUGUGUACAUAUACCCAAGCCAAAAUAAUAUGUAAUGAACUAAUUCAGAUAAACGAUCCCAGAUACAGUAAUAAUUCUUUACAUUUACAUCCAGCAAUGUCCUUCUUCCAAAAAUCCUCUUAGUGCAACAGUUAUUGUAUAUUCAGAGAUCUUGAAUACUUUAAAACCUCUAGUGUCCAGCCAAUUUUUCCUCACUCAAUCAACCUUAUCAUCUCCCACGAAGUGUGGAUACUCGAGUUGAGUAAUAAAAUAGAAUAGAUACUAAACUCCAUCACACAAAAUGUGUAGCAUUUCAAAUUGGACUGAAAAUAAACUUUCUGUAAUCUAUACCAACAAAGUUAGCUAAUUAAACACCAAAUAUUUACAAAUGUAUCAUCUUGAAGAUUAACCAGGAUUCCAGAGCUUGUAGUUCUCCUUUUUCACAGAUGGGAUCAGUGCAACCACACGACUUGCUCAGCAUGGCUUUCAUGCCUGGGUAUUAAUUUGAACUAAAGGCAAAUGUCGCUGAGUAGCUCUAGUCCCAUGCUCCUGUUAAUCUGAGGUCUGCCAUUGAUAUUUACUGUUGAAUAAAACCAGAACCAGACAGCAGUAAAACUGUAGUAGUAAAGUGGAGAAAAACCAGAUUUUAUUCAGGAACUAUUGCCAUGGGGAAAAGCGACCUCAACAUGGAACUAGGCUCAAUUCCAAACACAGCAAAGACAAGUGGGGAUGCAUAGCCAAGGAGCAGGUUGGAGGUAGGGUGAUUGUGCAGUAGAAAAUCAUCACUUACAGCAAACAUCCAGAGUAAGAGGAGACUCUGGAUAAACUGCUUGAAAGGAUUCUAGCUGAAGGCAGGCCAGGAUGAUCAGAUACAAAGGGCAGGUAGGAAAGAGGAAUUUGACCAGAUAUUGAGGGUAGGAGAUUCUCACUAAACUGACUUAGCAAAAUUCUUGUUAAAACUAUGUUAUGUAAAGAUGAACAUGGAAGGCCAAAGAUCAAAGAAUGUGACUAAUGUUUGGUCAAGGAGAGAGCCUUUGUCAGCACUCUAUUAACUUGACAGGACCUUCACAUGAGUAACAGGGCAACUUAGCUUUGCUAUGUUUAGUUCCCCUGGAGGGAGUACUGUCCUAUCAUGAAAAAUCAGGGAUUAGGCUGCUUACUAAUAGAAAUUCAUUUUAAAUGUCUUCCUGAGAAGAUGGACUUUCCUGAGAAGUAGAUCCCAGGCAAGAUGUAUGUAAAAGUGCUUAUUGAGCAGGUGAUCCUAGUAAACCCCAGUAGGACGUGGGGAGUGAAGGAAAGGAAGAAAGAGAACAAACAGUGCUUUAUCAAAGGAUACCCCUGUGGGUGCUGGAGCUUGGUCCUCAUGGGGGCCCUUUGGAGACUAUGUAGCAAGAGAGCCAGAGUAUUUACCCACUAACUCUGGUAAAUCAUUGGUUGAGAGCUGUCCUGUGGAAUGGUCAACUCCUGAUAUUUCAUUCCUGCCAUGUGCAUCAAUAGAGUGGCCUCCAGUGGCCUUAGCAAACCCUCAAAGAUCUGCUGUUGCUUUGAAUAGGAAGCCAUUGGCCUAUAGAAAUAAAGUGGGUGCCCAGAAGAUAUGAUAAGGCACUGAUAGAGUCUACAGUAUUUUUAAACUAUUUCCUUUCUUUUAUAUACUCUGUUCUGAGAUUCACCUGCUUAUAGUAGAAACUCAGUAUUUCUUUGUGGGCAAUUAAUGGCAACUAUCAGCCUAGUCUGUAGCAGCCUGUUGUGGCACUACAUUUUUUAAAGACGGGUUUGUUGAGGUAUAUUUUACAUGUAGUAACAUUUACUUCUAUUGUAAUAUGUCCAGUGUUAUAAUUUUGGCAAUCACAUAUAAUAUAAACAUGAUUAUAUAUAUGAUACAGUUAAGAUAUAGAACAUUUCCAUCAGCCCAAAAAAUUUGCUUCUUUAUAUUCAAUCUCCCUCUCCCACACCCUGACCAUAGAAACCAUUGAUUUGAUUUCUGUCCCCAUAGUUUUGCCUUUACCAGAAUGUCAUAUAAAUGGAAUCACUCAACACGUAGUAUUUUGAGUCUGGACUCUUGCACUUAGCAUAAUGCUUUCAAAAGUCAUUCAUGUUGUUGCAUGUAACAUUAGUCUGUUCUUCUUUAUCACUGGAAAGUAUUUAAUCAUAUGAAUGUACUAAAUUUGUUUAUCCAUUCAACAGUUAGUGGAUAUUUGUGGCCAUUUCCACUUUGGAUGAAGUUGCUAUUGCAUUUAACUAACAGAGACGAAAAGGAAAAAAUAACUUUAUUGAUGUCAUUUCAACCAUAUGAUCAAGGUUUACUUCAUGAGUAAUAUCAUGUUGAUACCAUAUACCCCCCAAUAUAACAUGAUGAGGACACUUCACCUCUAUGAUCUUGUUCACAAAAAUGCAUACCCCUAUCUAAUCAUGACAAAAUAUCAGACAAACUAAAAUUUAAGAACAUUCUACAAAACGUUUGACUUCAAAACUCUCAAGGCCAUGAAAACAAACAAAAAAAGAGUCUAAAAAAAGAGUCACAGACUGAAGGAGACUAAGAAAAUAUAAUGACCAGUAGAUCAAACCACACCCCUUCUAUUGUCCAAAGGGAAGGGCAGAUCACUCUGAUCAGGCCAAUUGCUCUCUUUCUUUUGGGAAAUUAAAUUUAGAAAAAUAUGGUUUGAGAUCUGAACUAAAAGAUUUCCAAUAAGAAGCCUCCAGAAUAGACUGUUCAUUGGUAAUGCUGAAGACACCACAGAUGCCCUGGCUCCAAUCCUUACCACACUUUGAUUGCUUAUUUACUUCAUUCUUCAAUUCCGUGAGCCAUUCUGUAUUAGUUUAAUAAAUUAUCUUUUUGCUAUAGUUACCCAGAUUUAUUUGUGGUUUUCACCUGAAGAACCCAAAUGCCUACAGAAAUUUUCAGAAGUCCUCCAAAGUAAAACUUUAAUAGAAAGAUAUGUAACCCAAGUUUCAGCUGGGAUUUUGUCACCCCUUGAGCAAUACUUUAUUGUUCCCAGGCCCAUUACCUGCCAUGUGGAAUAAAAAAAACUGGCUUCAAGAUUUCCCUAAGUUUACAGGGAGCCAGAAUUUUUAUUCCAACCUUUGGCUGUGACCUCUGAUUUACCUUUGUAAUGUCUUUUCAUUCAUUCAGAUACGAAACUCAUUCCACUUAUUUUUUUAAUUUAUAUUAGACCAGCCUGUUACAUAAAGUAUGUGUAUAUGUGAAAGACAUUAUUACUAAAAGUGAUGAAAAAAUUAUAGGGGUUACAGUACAGCAACUCAACUUAAAACCUUGUCAUAAUGAUUUUGAGUACUAAAGGGCCUUAGGAUAUUUCUCCAUUUUAUUCCCUGCCUUCUGCCUUGUCUGGCAAUAGGACACCCUAUUUCGUUUCUGCCCUCUUCUCUUCUCUCUUCUUUCACCCCUACUGGCACCCACCAAUUUUCCUCAAAUUUCCAUUCAUUUCUGAAAGAAGAGUUUGGUAACUCCUCUCAUGUCUUGCCCCUUAAUGACCCAGUGAUUCUCAUUGCUUCAUCUGCCCACAGUGGUUCCCUACUCACUAGUAGUUUAUCAAAACCAGGUACUUUGUUGUUUUUCUUUUGUUUGUUUUUGUUUUGAGAUGGAGUUUCACCCUUGUUGCUCACAAGAGUGAUCUCAGCUCACCGCAACCUCCACCUCCUGGGUUCAAGCGCUUCUCCUGCCUCAGCCUCCCGAGUAGCUGGGAUUACAGUCAUGUGCCACCACGCCCGGCUAAUUUUGUGUUUUUAGUAGAAAGGAGAUUUCUCCAUGUUGGUCAGUCUCGUGUUGAACUCCUGACCUCAGGUGAUCCGCCCGCCUUGGCCUCCCAAAGUGCUGGGAUUACAAGCAUGAGUACAGAUAACCAGGUACUUUCUUAAGAGGAAUGAUUUUUGUUAUUCGAUCUCGGCUCACCGCAACCUCUGCAUCCCGGGUUCUAGCGAUUCUCCUGCCUCAGACUCCCGAGUAGCUGGGAUUACAGGAGCCCGCCACAACACCCGGCUAAUUUUUUUGUAUUUUUAUUAGAGACGGGGUGUCGCCAUUUUGGGCAGGCUGGUCUCAAACUCCGGACCUCAGUUGAUCCACCCGCCUCGGCUCCCAAAGUGCUGGGAUUACAGGCAUGAGCCCCCGUGCCCAGCCUAAUUUGGGUUUCUUUAUUAAUUAAUCUUGAAAGUUACAUUUUGGUUUAUCUUUGUCUAGGAGAAUACUUUUCAAAACUAACAGAAAAUUAAAUAUUUUGGAAGAGCAUUUUCUAUCUCCAAAUAAGUUAAAACAUACUGUUAACUUACAGUGUCUGUCCUAUCUUAAGCUCUGUGUCUAAAGCAUACACAAGUCUGUCUCAUGAAAUAGAAUGUUAAACAUUUAUUAGAUUUUUCCUUGAAGCAUGAAAUUUACAUUUAUCUCCAAGAUUUUUUUUUAACUGCUAGACUUGUUUUUAUGAAAAAAGUUUUCUCCUGUUUCCCUCAUUUUUGCAAUAUUCAUACACUUGAAUUUUCAAUGCAGGCAUUUUUGAAAAAGCCAAUUUAUUUCAUCUCAGUCAAUUAGACACAAUGUGUCAUCAGUUCUCCUAGAGUAGGAUUUUGGUUUUUUACCACUGAAUUAAUCCUUGGAGAACUGAAGUGCCAACCUAAACCUGAGGCUUUCAUCUCAACAGUAUAUUCAACCAAAACAGUAGCUGCAAGAGGUUUCAAUACAGAAAUAUUGAACUUCACUGCAUUCAUAAAUGUCUAUCUAAAAUAUAAUUUAUUGCUGAAUACCUAGUCUCUUGCCCAUUAUUACCUUUUCAACACACACUGAUUCAUGUGCGAUCUCUGAAGUAAUAAGUCUUAAAUAGAUAAAGAAGUGUACUUUCACCUUCCUACUUGUAAACUUAUAGAUGUAGACUCAUGCUAUCGAGUCAUUUGAAUGGAAUUAUAAUGUCUUCAGAAAGCAUUCAUUAUGAAUUUAAAUGCCACUCAUAUUUUAAAAUGAAUACUGUUUAACACUUUUUGAACAUAUGAACAUGCUUUCAGUGUAACACUGCUCAACUUUUGAACAAACUAAAUAACUUGAGCUUUGGUUCAGAUUCCUUAUUUAACAUUCAAUGCUUUCUACAAUCUGGUGCCAACAUAACUUUUCAGGCUUAUUUCCUAUAAUUCUCAUGAAUUGAAAAUUAGUUCUGUUUAAACUGGUCUGUUUGUGAUCCUCUAAACACCUUGAAGUUUCUCACAACCUACUUUUAUCCUUACAUUUCUUCCAUCUGAAUAGUCCACUUUCCUCUCUUUACCUUAAUUAAAUUUUAUACAUACUCCAAGACCUAAGUCUAUUUCCACUUCUUUGGAUUGUCUUUUAUUUUAUCAUCUAAGGUGAAGUGAUCUCAACUUUUCCCAAAAUCAUGUAAAUAUUAUGUCCAUUUAAAUAAACAUUGUUUUUGUCUGUUGUUAUAUUACUUGGAAUAACUUGGGAAGACUUUCACCAUAUUUAGUUGUUAUGUCUGUGAAGUGAUACUAUAGGCUAGAUGCCCUAUACAAGCUUAGGACUUUAAGAAAACCUUUCCUAAGGGCUAGGCUGUCAUCCUUCAGAGAACGAGAAACUGAAGCACUGAUUUGCACUCACUCUGGAGGAUAUGCGAAAUCUGGUCUAACUUCUAUACUGUGUGGCAUAAGACAAUUAACUACGGAUGGAAGAAGAACUCGGAAGUAUCUUACAGAGAGAGGCAGUCAUUCCUCUGGACACCUGCAAUGGAAGUAAAACAAAGUUCUUGUCUAUAGGAUGUCAUUGGUGUUAAGAUCAUUGGGAGAGAAACCGUAUCAAAGUUUCAAAUAUGGUUUUAAAUUUUCAAAUCCAAACUGAAAAAUAUAGAUGCUCUGAAUUGCAGACAGAAGGUAGCAAUUGAGCUCUUUCUCACAUGGACAACUCUGUACAGCAUGUUUCAGAAUGGGGGAAAUUGUUUAUUUGACCUUAGUUGAUAUUGAGAAGGUCAAAAGUGAUUUAUAUAUUUUCCAAUUACACAGAUACUAUAUUAAAAUAUUGCUUGUAUUUUUGUCUUGAAUAAUUAAUGUAUACUCUUACUCAACUUCUGAUGGCCCCCCAUGUUACUCUUCAAAUAUAUUAUACGUUGUUGAGCGGUCAUUUUUUCUGCACUCUCAGAGAGCAGUGAUUGAACUUUAUAGGUCUGUAGUUUCAUUGACUAGUAAAAGUAUUUCCAUUAGGAAAAUAUCUAGUUAAAGACAGAAUUAAAUAUACAUUGGUUUGGGAAAGCAUAAGAAAAAAUCUAUUUAUUUAUUCAUUCAUUCAUUCUACAAAGACAUUAACUGCUUGUCAUAUGCCAGGAACUCUACUAAGAACUGAGAUAAUUUUUAUAACUUGUGUUGUCCUGCCUCAAUUUCCUCAACUGUUAAAUGAAGAUAUUACUAGUGAUUACUAUUCUAUGAGUUUCCUAUUGUGGUUGUAACAAAUUUCCACAAAUGUAGUGGCUGAAACAAUGCAAAUUUAUUAUCUUACAAGCUCCAUAAGUCAGAAGUCCAACGUGGGUCUCAUGGGGCUCAAAUCAAAUUAAGGUGUCAGCAGGGAUACAUUAUUUUCUAGAGCCUCUGGAGGGAAUCUAUUUCCUUCUCUUUCAAGUUAUUGGCAGAAUUCACUUCCUUACGAUGUAGAAUUGAGACUUCCAUUUCCUACUUUGCUUCUAGCUGUGGGUUAUUCCCAGCUUCUAGAAGCAAGUGCAUUCCUUGCCUCAUGGACCACCUCCUCCAUCUUCAAAGUUAGUCAUUUGAGUUGAGUCCCUACUGUCUCUUCUGUAGUUGCAUCUGUCUGUCUGACUUGCUUUUCUGCUUUUCUCUUCCGCUUUUAAAGACCCACCCAGAUAAUCCAAGAUAAUCUGCCUUUAUAAAGUCUUUAACCUUAACCUCAACUGCAAAAUCCCUUCUACCAUGCAAGGUAACAUAGUCACCAGUUACAGGAAUUAUGGGAUGUGGGUAUCUUUGGUGACCCA
rnacentral:lncRNA from 1 species